UACAAUCCCAUCUGUAUGUUGCAUCUCUCCCCUGAUGGCCUGAAGUAUCAUGGACCCACCGGCCUAAAAAUAAUUCACCCUGAUGUUGCCAAUCUAAGUCCAUCUGAGCCACUUCAUUUCUGCAGCUUGUUGCUGGGGACUCCAUACAGCUGCCUUCCAUUUCCAAUGUUUCCAAAGCACUGGAGGGGCCCAGUGGACUAGAUACUCGCCCAUACUGUCCCACACACCCUGCCACUCAUGACUGUCCAGCCUUGG